AGUGGCUUCCCCUUGGUCACAAACGUGUUUAUCUUUAAGAAAUACGAGCUUGUCUUCCCUACCCCUUAAAUCCUUCAGGCUUGGCCGUCUUUCUUCUGAGGUUCUAUCUCAGCUGUGCAAGUUGGGGCUUCCUCUCUUAUUUGAUCGUGUCUUUAAUAAAACCCUGGGCUGAAGGCCCAUCUGAUCCGAGUUGGCUUUGGGCCCUGGGUCUUAGUCUGGCCACUCUUGGUGCUCCUGGGACAGGGCAUAGUGUGCUCCUCUCUCAUUCAUGCAUUCAUUCAUCCAUUCAUUCAUUUGAUAUCUGUUGAACUCCUAUGUGCCAGGCACUGGCUAGGUCCUGGGGACACCAAAAGUGUCAGGCAAAUAGAAACGGGUGCUGAUCGUUAGAGAACACCUUGUCUAACGAAGGGGGCUCUUGGAUGUGGGGAGGUAUGUGAGUGAGCCAUGCAAGCUGGGGAUAAAAGUCAAGAGGCUGUGAGAACUUGUAGAUGGGGUUUGAAAUUUUCAUGUUUUGUCCUAGAAGCCUCAGGGAACCAUGGAAAGAUUUUAAGCAGCGGAGAGAAAUGGUCACAUUUGGGUUUUUGGGAAAAGACCCCAGCUUCUAACACCAGUUAGAAGGGGGAGGGGAGUGGGGAUCAGUCAGGGAACCCAUCAGGCAAUGCCAGUGUCUAGGAUUGGAGGGGCUUGGGGAGAAGGGGUUGAGGACGUAACCCACGUGGAGGAGGAUGGCAGACCGUGGGUGUAGAUUGCAGAGGCAGUUGACCAACACUGGAGGCAGACACUGGAGCAGGGACACAGCUGCCAGGCGCGGAGCGUAUUGAGUUGAGGUGCCUUUGAAAGGAGGCGAUAUUCAGGUCAAGAGCUCAUGGGAGAGGUGUGGCCUAUAGAUAGCCAUUGGUGAAUUAUCUGCCAUAUGUAGUUACUCCAUAGGAAUGGUGGAACUUGCCAGGGAGACAGACUAGAAAAGCGAGGGUGCCUUGGGGUCAGGGAGGUGCAUCUGUCCAAGGAGGUUGAGGAGGAAUGGCCAGAGAAGUAGGAGGGAUGCCAGGGAGUGGUAGGGUCACAAUAGCCUUGAAGGAGUAUCUCUGUGUUUCUCCAUGACUGUUUGCCUUAAUCACAAACACAUCUCCUUCAUCCUGCAUGUUAGAUGUAGGGAGCAGGGGGCAAACUAGUCUGGUGCUAAUGCCCUCUGGAAAGGGCAUGCCCUCAGCCUGGGCAGGAGGGCCAAGGAGGAUUCUGGCAAACUCCAUGAGAUUAGGUGGCAACGGCAGGCACAUCAGAGAGUUGGGGACAGGCAUGGAGAAGCUUGUGGCAGUUCAAGGCUGGGUGGGAGAAUUUUCUUUGUCUACAGGUCCAUGGACUGUGAGUUCAGGGACAUUAUAAAGAAAGAGAACAAGGAGACCAAGGGACAGGAGAUGCGGGGUCUCUUUGGAGGUUGUGGGGACUAACAAGCUCGAUUUGGGAGAGGUAGUGAGAGGGAAGAGCAAGGCCAGUUCUGACCACUGGCUUCCAAGAAGGCCAGCUUCCAUGGCCUGUUGGGUCUUGAGAUAGAAGCUAUUUCCCGCCCCUUGUCAUAUGGGCAUAUUUCUUGGAGAAGCAAGGAGUAAGAGUUUGUCAAGGUAAGAGAACAGAGGGGAGGAGAAGAUCACAUAAGGGAAACCAGUGAGGAUCUGAAAGGCAACAGGCCAGUACUCCAGGACUGUUGUUCCAAAUUUAUUCAGGCACCGAGAAAAUUUCUAAAGCCCCUCUAGCCUUUUUUAGAGCUGCUCAAAGCAUAUGGGGCAUGCCUAGGGCCCAGAGAAAAGGAGCAGUGGAGAGGCAGGCUGAAAGAAGCAGGGAGGGUCAGUGUGGGCCACAGGUUAAGACGACUUCAGCAGAUAGAGGCAACCAUCAGAUCCUCUCCACCGCUCUCUGGGCCAGCAUACCACAGCUAGCACGGGCAGGCUCCUUCACCCCUCGCCAAAGCACUGGGUCUGGCUGCCAUCUCGUGUCUGGCUAUUUCAGACAGCCCCCAACUGGAGUCCCUCACAGUAAAGCCUUACCACAGAAAGAGCAGUCCUGCCAAAGUACAGGCUUAAGUCCAUGGACGGGGAAGAAAGAGUACUUUCAGACCCCCUUUGGAGUGUGGCUUCCUCAUGACUUCCAAGGCAAGACAUACAUUGGGACAAAGAAAUAUGUUUUCAGGGAGAAACAGGAGACUCAGUGCAACCCUGCGAGCACCAAUUUCUACAUUUGUAAAAUGAAGAUAAGCCUACCUAUCCAACCGACCACAACAGAGCUGAGCCACCUGUCAGCAGUGCGUGGGCAGACUCCCGACUCCACAAGAAUGGAAGGAACUCAAUGCAUCUCAUGGAAGGAAGACCUCACAUUGCCAGGACUUUGAGUACAAUAGAUGCAUCGCUGUUUGGAGCAAAGCAAGGUGUGAAGACAAAGGCGAAGGAGGGCAGCGUGAGGCCUCUAACAUCCUACAGAGCCGGGGCAAGCGAAUGCCGUGUCUCCACAUUCACUCGCAGCUUCUGAAAAUGGUUUUCCUGUUUUCUGAAAUUCAUCUGCGCUCUCUCUACCCCCGCCCCCCACCAACCUGGCCACCCUGUAGAUUAUAAACGAAGGCCCGUAUCCUUCAGUAUAUUGAGUUGGUGAUUUCACUGAAUGAACGUGGCAUUCCAAGUCAGCGAGUAAGUGUACGUCAUACAAUCAUUGGCCCAGAAAUUACAUUAUGAUUAUUUUUAUUAUAAUUAUUUUUCGGUGAGUAAUUACUGAGUGCCUGCUCGGGGGCAAGCUGGGCAUUGUUGUGGGUGUUGCAAACCAGCACGUGAACAAAACAAAUGAAGUCUUUGCUGUCCCAGGGAGCGGCCAGUUUUUAGGGAAGGAGAGGCACAGUGAACUAGGAACCACCCCAGAAGGUGAAUCUGGCUGCGGAGACAGAAGCUGCUGGCUAUGGUCAAGGAAGACUUCUUGGGUGAACUGGGGGCACUUGGGAAGACGCCGGAGGACAUGCAGGUGCAUGCCAUGUUGCUAUCUGGGUGACAACAUUCCGGGAAGUGGGUGUCGCAAAUGAAAAGGAACAACAGGUGGAUUGGCUGCCCGAAGUGGGUCAGUUUUUAUACCUCUCCCUCUGUCCAGUAAUUAGCGUCAUUAAUCGUGCAAUAAUUAGAAAUUGUCGUCUUGAUGCCCUCUUUGGUUUUAAAACAAUUUGAAGAGGUUACAUUUCAUUUUCAAGAUAAUAUUCAAUUUCAGAAAAAUAUUGCAUAAUGACCGUAAUUAUGUAUAUUUGCCCUUCACCCCCCAAACCCCCCCAAGAAAAACAACCCCUACAUCUUAAAGAAUCAUGCCAUGUUCACCUCUGAAACUAAACACAAAGAACUCCAAGGGGUCAGAUGGAAUGACAGAAUGAAGAAAGUCCGAUUCUGAUUCUUUGACUCUGUAAUCAUUGUGCUAUGGUUGUGUCUUUUGGGUCUAUUGUUUAAAGCUCAAACUCAGAGAAACGUAGGGCCGGGGACUGGAGAGCCCAACUGUGCCCUAAGCAAGCUCCAAUGAUUCUGAAUCAUUAUCAGCGAGACUGCGAAAUGCUGUCGAUGAAUCCAUGGUUAUGUAGACCUAAUAUUUAUUUGCCUUUGUGUGUACGUGUGUGUGUGCAUGUGUGAGUCUGUGAGCGUGUGUGACCUCCUGCCUGCUCCCCAACUCCCCAGUAUGUGCCCAGUCCCAGCAUUUGCCAAUCUAAAGUGUGCAGAUUUUCCUUAAUCACGUCUGUGGCUGAAGUUAGGUUAAGUCCAGUAGCUCCCAGGGCACUUCCUAGCUUGUGGAAGGUUCUUUGGACCUGUAUUUCUACGGCUCUGAUGGGAAGAAUGAAAAAUUUAUGUUCAUCAAGCUUAGCUCCCUGAGGUUUUUGUGUUUUGGACUCUCCCACAGAAUUUACUGUGAGGGAGCCUCUUUUUUUGUGUUUCGGACUCUCCCACAGAAUUUACUGUGAGGGAGCCUCUUUCCUUCUUUUCUUUUCUU